GAUGAACGCUGGCGGCGUGCCUAAUACAUGCAAGUCGAGCGAACAGACGAGGAGCUUGCUCCUCUGACGUUAGCGGCGGACGGGUGAGUAACACGUGGAUAACCUACCUAUAAGACUGGGAUAACUUCGGGAAACCGGAGCUAAUACCGGAUAAUAUAUUGAACCGCAUGGUUCAAUAGUGAAAGACGGUUUUGCUGUCACUUAUAGAUGGAUCCGCGCCGCAUUAGCUAGUUGGUAAGGUAACGGCUUACCAAGGCAACGAUGCGUAGCCGACCUGAGAGGGUGAUCGGCCACACUGGAACUGAGACACGGUCCAGACUCCUACGGGAGGCAGCAGUGGGGAAUCUUCGGCAAUGGGCGAAAGCUUGACGGAGCAACGCCGCGUGAGUGAUGAAGGUCUUCGGAUCGUAAAACUCUUUUAUUAGGGAAGAACAAAUGUGUAAGUAACUAUGCACGUCUUGACGGUACCUAAUCAAAAAGCCACGGCUAACUACGUG
rnacentral:rRNA from 1 species